rnacentral:rRNA from 1 species
UACGUAGGUGGCAAGCGUUGUCCGGAUUUACUGGGCGUAAAGAGCGCGCAGGCGGUCGUAUAAGUCGGAUGUGAAAGCCCCCGGCUCAACUGGGGAGGGUCAUUCGAUACUGUUCGACUCGAAGGCAGGAGAGGGAAGUGGAAUUCCGGGUGUAGUGGUGAAAUGCGUAGAUAUCCGGAGGAACACCAGUGGCGAAGGCGACUUUCUGGCCUGUUCUUGACGCUGAGGCGCGAAAGCUAGGGGAGCAAACGGG